UGUGGACAUUAUAAUAUUUUAUAUAUAAAUAUGUAUGUAUGCCUACAAAACAAACACCAUCCCGUAAUUGUGCAGUGGCCGAAAACUGUAGGAAUUGGAUGAAUAUAAACGAACGCGUAAACUUGGAACCUCGUAGUUACAUCUACAGCUUCAGCAGCAACAACAUGGCCUGGUCAUGUUUUAGCGUGAUUCUUGUAACACUGGCAUUGACGUCGGGAGUAGUGUUUGUAGAAGUUAAGAAGUAAAACAUCUUACGAAAGGCGAAAACAUGAAGAACAUGUCUGAAACACGACUAUGCGAUUACACUUUGUGUCAUUAGUGUUAUUAGUGACAAUAAAAUAUUAUAAAAUGAAA